rnacentral:rRNA from 1 species
GCGGCGAGGUGAGUAACGCGUGGGUAACCUGCCUCAUACAGGGGGAUAACAGUUGGAAACGGCUGCUAAUACCGCAUAAGCGCACAGUACCGCAUGGUACGGUGUGAAAAACUCCGGUGGUAUGAGAUGGACCCGCGUCUGAUUAGGUAGUUGGUGGGGUAACGGCCUACCAAGCCGACGAUCAGUAGCCGACCUGAGAGGGUGACCGGCCACAUUGGGACUGAGACACGGCCCAA